CAAAGUGAUCCUGAAAGAGAUAGAGACCGGUGACUUAAGAGGGAAAUGUUGGCUGGGAAGAUAUCUAUUAUUACGCUAAGCUUGGUGAAGAAAAAGAGGCAGCUAGAAUUUUAAGAUUUGCACAAAUUAUCCAAGAUUGAAGGAAUACAUCGCGCAGCAGCCAUCGUCCCUUCGAAGGUGUUCCACCACUGCUUGGUUCACUCAGCGUCGUUGUCUCCCACUCUCCCUAUUGCAUGUUUUGUUGAAGCCUUGAAGGUGCCUUCGAGCUUCCAGAGUUCCAGGUAAGAAUGGCCGGAAAGAAAUGGAAAAAAAGCAUGCAAAGUGGAGAAUUCAUGAAGAAAUGAGAAUUUGCUGAAUUUAUGGUGACGCGUACGCGUGACAAGCAUUACGGGAGCCAUGCAGAAGAAUUAAGAAGUUAGGAUCGUAUAAUUUUUGCACAAAAGAUGAUGAAAAGAAGAAACAAAAUUCUAUUAUUUUUCAAGGUCAUUCAAUCCGAUAUCUCCAGUGCUGCAAUUACAGGAAUGGAACUCAGUUAAUCUGCAUCUUAUUUGAUAUCGAGGCCAACAUGAUUGACACCAAUCUAUUGAUGUCAACAAAUUAAAGAGGAUUAAGAAGUCAAUAAUCAAGAAAGAAAUAGAGUCUAAUGAAGAAUGGACUUGAAUGGUAUUCAGGUACGCAUAACUAAUUUUGUUACAUAAGCUUUUUUAAAUAACCAAGGGUAUUGCAGCUUUUUUGUCUCUGUUUUCCAUUUUUCAUAAUAUUACAACUCAAAUGUCUUAGUAUCUAUCUGUAAAAACUACAGCAUAAAGUUAAAAAUAUCAUUGAUGAUCUCCAUUUAACUAUCUCUGUCCAUAUCCAAAUAUGCUUAUACAUGUUGUCAAGAUACCACUAUUAAUUAAUGAAACUACGAUAAUGUCUUACAGAGAGACAAACACAGAUUUUACAAAAAAAAAAACACAAAUCAGCGCCAUCACGGCUCGCAAUCUUGUUUCAUUUGGUGCACAAUCUUCUCUGAAUUGUAGUAGUCCCCCUUCUUAUCAUACUCCUCUAUAAUAGCAACAUUAGGUAGACUUAAAUGGCUUUGUAGGGUAAUUCCUUUUGCAGCAUAGUCUUUGCUUCUUCCACUUCCCUUACUUGAACUAAUAAAUUGACGGGGUCAUCUGCCACCCACUUAAUCUCAUUAGUUCAAUAAAAUUUUUGUCCUAUCUCACAAUAUUGUUUGUGUUGUAAAUGCUUAGUAAAUUCCAGCAAUCUUUGGAAGUAAUAUUUGGCCAAAGGGCAAAUCAAAUGGGAUAUAUUUACUAUUUGGCAAGGCUGGCAAAAUUUUUUAUGCUAAUUGUGAUAGUAAAUUUUGUGACCUAAAUGUACACACUUUUUUUUAUCGAAGGAAUGUGUUUGUUUACAGAGUGCAAAACUCAGUGAAGAGAAAUAUGUUAAGAUUGUGAAUCGCUUUGCUCAACUUUGGCCGCUAGCAGAGCUCUAUAUUGGAAAGGAUUUCAGAAAAAGGAAAAUUAAUAUACCAAGCCUUUUUAAAACAAUGUCUUCACAAAAAUAAUUUAAACAAAGCUGAGGAAACGUUUGAGAAGAUGAGGAAUUUAAAGUUUCUUUCAUCCUUCAGAUUGGAACCUCUUUACACUCAUGUAUAAAAGACAUGGAAAAGAUAUAUCUGAAUUGCCGAUGAAAAUGGAGGAAGACAAGGUGACACAUUGAGUCGAAGAAUAUAGCUCAAAUCGAGCUAACCGUUCACAAGAUGAGAACCCAAGGCAUAUUCUUAGAUAUAAAACAAAAUCCAUCGCGGCCAAUCAUUACAUCUCAUCUGGCCAACUAGAGAAAGCCAAAGUGAUCCUGAAAGAUUUUGGUUUUAUAUCUAAGAAUAUGCCUUGGGUUCCAUCUUGUGAACGGUUAGCUCCAUUUGAGCUAUAUUCUUGGACUCACCCGAUGAAUCGAUCGUCGUCUUGUAAUGGUAAGGUGAAGGUGUCAUCUCUUCUUCCAUUUUCAUCCGCAAUUCAGAUAUAUCUUUUCCAUGUCUUUUGUAUGUGAGUGUAAGGAGGUUCUAAUUUGAGGGAUGAAAGAAACUUUAAAUCUCUCAUCUUCUCAAACAUUUCCUCAACUUUGUUUAAAUUAUUUUUGUGCAGACAUUAUUUUAAAAAGAAUUGGUAUACUAGUUUUCCUUUUUCUAGAAUCCUUUCCAGUGUAACGGAGCCCCGAAGUUGAGCAAAGUGGCUCACAAUCUCAGCAUAUUUUUCUUUACUGAGUUUUGCACCUGUAAGCAAACACAUUACUUUGAUAAAAAAAGAAAGUAUAUAUAUUUGCGUCACAGAAUUUACUAUCACAGCAAACUUUUGCCAGCCUUGUCAAAUAGUGAAUAUAUACCACUUGGUUUGUCCUCUGGUCAAAUAUUACUUCCAAAGACUGCUGGAGUUUACUAAGUAUUUACAUCAUAAACAAUAUGGUGGGGGAGGGCAAAAAUUUCAUUGAACUAAUGAGAGUAAGUGGAUGGCAGAUGACCCGUCAAUUUUAGAUAAUACUAUUAAAUUAUUAGUUCAAGUAGGGGAAGUGGAAGAAGGAAAGACUCUGCUGCAAAUGGAAUUAACCUACAAAAACUUCAAGCCAUUUAAGUUUACCUAUAUUGCUACUAUAGAGGAGUAUAAUAAGAGGGGAGACUACUACAAUUCAGAGAAGAUUGUGCACCAAAUCAAACAAGAUUGCGAGCUGUGAUGGCACUGAUUUGUGUUUUUUUUUUUGGUAAAAUCUGUGUUUGUCUCCAUGUGUAACAUAGUUUCAUUAACUGUGUCUUGACAACGUGUACAAGCAUAUUUGGAUAUGGACAGAGAUAGUUGAAUGGAGAUCAUCAAUGAUAUUUUCAACUUUAUGUUGUAGUUUUACGGAUAGAUACUAAGACAUUUGAGCUGUAAUAUUAUGAAAAAUGGAAAGCAAAGACAGAAAAGCUGCAAUACCCUUAGUUAUUUAAGAAAGCUUGUGUAACACAAUUAGUUUGAGAUUAAAUGAUGUUUGUAUUUUGUUGGACUAUUAUGCGCACCUAAAUACCAUUCAAGUUUAUUCUUCGUUAGACUCUAUUUCUUCCGUUUCUUCCGUUAUUAUUGACUUCUUAAUCCUCUUUAAUUUGUCGACAUCAAUAGACUGGUGUCAAUCAUGUUGGGCUUGAUAUCAGAUAAGAUUUAGAUUAACUGAGUUCCAUUACUGAGUUCCAUUCCAGUAAUUGCAGCACUGAAGGAAAAAAGGAAGGCUGCUUAAAAUCUUCGAAGGCUGGUGUGAUAAUGUAACAGAUCUGCUACUUGCCACAUAAGAAGAGGCUAUUCAGCGGUGAGAUAUUUACGACAGGACACCAACAAUGACCUGGGGAAAGGGCCGUGUGACUUUGCUUGGUGACUCUCCAUGCUCAUGCUAUGCAACCAUAAUAUGAGCCAAGGACGAUGCAUGGCUAUUGAGAUCUUGUAGUUAAUGAACUUUUAAAACUUCAAGGUGAAAACUUCUCUGUCUGGCUUAUCAUAUUGUUACAGGAUGGCUAUCAACUUGCUUGGGAGUUGGACAAUGCUUGGGAACAAAGUAUAAAAUCAGGAUCUAAGAUUGACAUUAACCUUGAGUUCCAAUGGAGGCAAGGAGCCAAGUGGUUAAAGCCAAAUCAUUUUGGCGCCAUUCCUUGUAUUUGGUAGUUUCUUGAGGUUGAUCUUGCAAAGAGGAUGAAUCUGUAGGUGCCUCAGUUGAUUUUGCAGCAGCAUCGGGCUUUGAUUUGGGAGAUUCAUACCGCGUAGGGAUUUUUGAAGGGUCAAGGUGAUGCUCCAUUCCCAGAGUCUGGAUUGUUAGCCACACCAUGUGACCCGAUGUGCUGAAGUUGUUAGGUUCAAGUUUCUCAGAAAUAGGAACAAGAGCUGGUUUGGUAGAUUGAUUCCCAGCAACAAUCAGUGCCAUGAUUGAGAGAAAGGAAGAACGAAGAAGACCGAACAAAAGAAGCAAGA